CCAUCAUCUGUUACAGUGUUAACAAUGUUGG
rfam:Callipepla squamata strain Texas jcf7180005233619, whole genome shotgun sequence.